rnacentral:rRNA from 1 species
UGAACGCUGGCGGUAUGCUUAAGACAUGCAAGUCGAACGGUAACAGGCAAGAGCUUGCUCUUGUGCUGACGAGUGGCGGACGGGUGAGUAACACGUGGAAAUCUACCCAGUAGCGGGGGAUAAGUCAGAGAAAUUUGAUCUAAUACCGCAUACGCCCUACGGGGGAAAGGCUUCGGCCACUAUUGGAUGAGUCCGCGUUAGAUUAGCUAGAUGGUGAGGUAAGGGCUCACCAUGGCGACGAUCUAUAGCUGGUCUGAGAGGAUGAUCAGCCACAUUGGGACUGAGACACGGCCCAGACUCCUACGGGAGGCAGCAGUCGGGAAUAUUGGACAAUGGGCGAAAGCCUGAUCCAGCAAUACCGCGUGUGUGAAGAAGGCCUGCGGGUUGUAAAGCACUUUCAGUUGGGAAGAUAAUGACGUUACCAACAGAAGAAGCACCGGCUAACUCC